CCAUUUCAAGACUCAAUCUUGGAAGAAAUUUCUUCCAAGAACUUUUACAGCAGAAAGAAAAAAAUCAUUCCAUUCUGUAUAAAGUCUCCACCACUACUUGGAAGAAAUUUCUUCCAAGUUCAUUUACACCCGUAAGAAUUUUUUUUUGUUUAGUGUACAAAUUUGUUGUCAGUGAUACUGGUUGGAAGAAAUUUCUUCCAAGUGCAUUUAUAGCCAUGUGAAAAAUUGUCAUUUCGUUUCCUAUAAAGGCUUCGUCAUUUCUUGGAAUAUUUUUUUUAUUUCGUCAUUUUUUUUCCCACAGUAUAUUUUAUUCCUCUACAUUUAUAAAAACUAUUUUAAACCUUUUAAGAAAUCUAGAAAAAAUGAAGUACAUUUUAACAAGUAUUACAUGAAACAGGUUUUUUAGAACUCAUGUUAGACUUGAACGCUGAAGUUAAUUCAUUAAAUUUUAAAUAGCUAGCACAUACAUAUUACAUAAAACAAUAAUGCAAAACACCAAAUACAUGUUUACUAUCUAAUAUUAAUAAGGGGGAGACAAUAAGGAGGGGGAAUCUGAAGAAUUAGUUAUUUGCACUUUUUAAUGUGCAGUAAACUGAAAGGCCCUAUGUACAGUAGAAGGGGUGAACAUGCGUCCCUGAUUCCUAUACCCUACUCCCAGACUAAUAUUUGGUUAAAGGCAUUUUUCGAACAUAUCUAUUCUUAUCCUACAAGACUUUUUGCUAAUUCUGACACCAACAGUGCAUAUUAAAUUUCUAUAAAAAGGACAGGACAUAGAUUUGUG
rnacentral:lncRNA from 1 species